GCGUGGGUGAAGAAGGUCUUCGGAUUGUAAAGCCCUUUCGGCGGGGACGAUGAUGACGGUACCCGCAGAAGAAGCCCCGGCUAACUUCGUGCCAGCAGCCGCGGUAAUACGAAGGGGGCUAGCGUUGCUCGGAAUUACUGGGCGUAAAGGGCGCGUAGGCGGUUUGGUCAGUCAGGCGUGAAAUUCCUGGGCUCAACCUAGGGACUGCGCUUGAGACUUCCAGACUUGAGGACGGAAGAGGCUCGCGGAAUUCCCAGUGUAGAGGUGAAAUUCGU
rnacentral:rRNA from 1 species